AUUGCACGCAACAUUUGGGUAAGUUCCUACAGCAAAAUGCACUAUGCUGUGAAAUUACUCCCAAGUAUAAAUUACAGCGGUUUUUUGUCAGGUACCAUUUAUCAUCCCUUUGAAAGUCCUGCAUGCAGAUUAGCACUAAAUGUCUGCUUA